GGGGGCCCGCAAGCGGUGGAGCAUGUGGUUUAAUUCGAUGCAACGCGAAGAACCUUACCUACUCUUGACAUCCAGAGAAUAUAGCAGAGAUGCCAUAGUGCCUUCGGGAGCUCUGAGACAGGUGCUGCAUGGCUCGUCGUCAGCUCGUGUUGUGAAAUAGUUGGGUUAAGUCCCGCAACGAGCGCAACCCUUAUCCUUUGUUGCCAGCGAUUAAGUCGGGAACUCAAAGGAGACUGCCAGUGAUAAACUGGAGGAAGGUGGGGAUGACGUCAAGUCAUCAUGGCCCUUACGAGUAGGGCUACACACGUGCUACAAUGGCGCAUACAAAGAGAAGCAAACUUGCGAAAGCUAGCAGACCUCAUAAAGUGCGUCGUAGUCCGGAUUGGAGUAUGCAACUCGACUCCAUGAAGUCGGAAUCGCUAGUAAUCGUGGAUCAGAACGCCACGGUGAAUACGUUCCCGGGCCUUGUACACACC
rnacentral:rRNA from 1 species